UACGUAGGUGGCAAGCGUUAUCCGGAUUUAUUGGGUGUAAAGGGCGUGUAGGCGGGAAUGCAAGUCAGAUGUGAAAACUAUGGGCUCAACCCAUAGCCUGCAUUUGAAACUGUAUUUCUUGAGUGCUGGAGAGGCAAUCGGAAUUCCGUGUGUAGCGGUGAAAUGCGUAGAUAUACGGAGGAACACCAGUGGCGAAGGCGGAUUGCUGGACAGUAACUGACGCUGAGGCACGAAAGCGUGGGGAGCAAAUAGG
rnacentral:rRNA from 1 species